AGGGAUGUAGUUAAUUAUAACAUUUGAUUUGCACUCAAAAAAUAUUGAAUUUCAAUCUUCCUUA
rnacentral:tRNA from 1 species